ACCACUAGACCAAAUGCCCUUGUUGCUAUAUUCCUCAUAACAAAUUAUUCGUACUUAAGAUACCUGGGAUCAUCGCUGCCAUGCGGCCCCGGUUCCUGCCCCGUCGACUUCAAUCCCCACCUCAUUCCUCUCCUCACGUCUCGCCUCCGGCGCCGCGCCGCCGUCGCCUCGUCUCCUCAUCGGAACUCCUCGUCCGCCUCAACGCGCCUCAUCCUACUUCGUCCACCGCAUGCUCGUACGGCUGCGGCAGUUAGGGACGAAGCUGUGUUUGCACGGUCUCUCAAAUCCCUGGAUCUUGGGGUGCGGAGCCCUUUUUCGCCAUCCAAGGAAGUUUCUUCGACAGAAACAUGCGGCUCAGGGCGACGGCGAUGACGGCGGCGGCUGCCGUGCGAAGCGCGGCGAGCUUCUUCUGCAGGCAAACCGCCGCGCCUAACUCUGGCAAACGUGGGGAGCAGAGCAGCAUUUCCUGCAGUGAGGUGGAGCAGGGUGUCUCUUCUCAACUUCUCUUGGGCUGGAAGAUGCUCCUAAAUAGCAGCGCUCUCUGAUGAUCCGGUUGAUAUCCAACCCCUAAUGACAGUCGCAGAAGCUCAUCGAUUUUUCUUUUGUUCUGGAGAAGAACCUCAUCAUUAUUGUUAUUUCGGAGAUGAAGGCCAUCAAGUAUUGUUUGUCAGUAUACCUUGUGCACGACUGACUAGAUGAUGCUUGUGCCUUUUCUCCCUGUUGUCGCCUGCCAAGCAGAAUUACGGCGCUCAUGACGGUAUCCUAUCUUUGUUCGGUCUGAUUUCAACUGCAUAUGGUGGAUUCAGGUAUGUGGUUUAGUUUUUCACUAAUUGUUUCCAUUUCACAUGGCCUAGAUUGCAGAUCAUUUUGUGGUGGAUCUUGUCACAGAUGGCCAUGACAUGCCAGGGCAGCUCCAAGAGGUGGACAGUUCAUGCCCUGAACUAGGUGAGCACAUUCCUGGAGGUUGAGUCAACUAGCAGAUCUUAUUUCUUAUUAUCCUCUUAUUUCUACUCCCUCAACCUCUAUCCAGCAGAAAAUGGGAUGCCCGUGUGGUUUAUCCUGCCUGGAACAAUCGGAACAUGGCAUCAAAGCACGCUUGCAGAAUUUCGAUGCGUGGGUUAUGGAUCAUUCUGCAGGUAGCAGGCGGUCCUCCAACAAACACCAAUUACACAGCUCACAUUUGUUUUCUUUUGGUUGCUGCCUAUCAAGUCGACAAUGUAGAUUAAUUCUGAGUAAUGUUAAUCGUGCGUAUGCUUUGCCACCAAUUGUAGGGACAUCACCUGCUUGUAAGCUCACUUAUUGAUGUCUGUUGCACAAACAAGAUGAAACAACAUGAACUUGUCUAUGACACGAAUGGCUACGCCAUAUAAUCAUAGCACAAAACUUGCUCCAUAUUGUUUAGAUGAUCACCGGCUUUGCUUCCAUUGGCCUUUCAAUUCUCAACUAUAAAUGGAGUACGCCCAAAGAGCUGAACGGCGUGCAACUUUUCUUCCUUUCUCGUCUCUUCCAUGUCCUGAAGAAAUAUACCAUCACUCAUUCGCACCAUCCAUCACAAACAUGUCUUGCCAUCUAAGAUCUACAAGUCUGCCUUCUAGGCCUCAUUUUAGUGAGAUCAAAGCAGAAGAAGAGUUGCACAGCCUAAAAACACACUUCUGUAGGCAGCCCGCUAGCAUCGUCACACUGAGUGAUGGUUUGAGGAAGCUUGCACAAGUCUACAACUGUGUUGAGGAGAUUGUGCGCUUGCCAAGGAACCAAGUUGACCUCUGCUUGCCCCAGCAAAAGAAAAUGGUAGAGAAAGAACUGGAACAGUCCCUUGUGCUGCUUGAUAUCUGCAAUGCUAUGCAAGAGAACUUUGCCGAGUUGAAGAUGAGCAUCCAAGAGCUGCAACUAGUCUUUAAAAGAGGAGAUCAUGCCACUGCCAAUCUCAAAAUUGACUCUUUCUUCCGUUCAGCAACGAAUAUGCAAAAGCAUUUCAAGAAAUACAGCAGCAAAGCUACUCCUGAAGGUCUCAGCCUUGUCAGGCUACUAGUAGAAGCCAGAGAGAUAGCUGUCUCCCUGAGGUGUUGAGUUCAUGCUUAUCUUGAAGCCUACGUGGCCCAGAUUAGCAUUGGACACGUUUUUGGAGGUUUGCGUGUCAACUUUUCUUCUCAUCAACUGCGAUUCUUGCUCACCACCUUAUAGCAGAAAACAACUCUGUAUACUCGUGCAGUCCGUUUUGUCGGGCAUAAUUUAAACAUCACAUACUGGCAAUACCAAAUAGCAACCUGUCUUCCUGUACUAUCAAGUAGUCGUGCAGACCACAGUUUGCCUACAUUUGGAACGUGUCAAAGGUGCAUUAUUUAGCACUUAGCAAUGCGUGCUGUUUUAAACUAAGAUAGACAAGGCAUCAACUUGUCUGAGGCUGUGGUGGCCAUGUGAGUACAUGGGUUCUGCAGAGAUAAAGAUACUUUCUGUCUGUUGUGCCGUAUUCUCAAAUUUCACAUGUAAUUGAGCAACUUUAACUCUGCUACUGAAGGAUCACACCACAGAUUCUUACAGAAACAGGUAUUACCUUUUAAUAUCUGGAAUCUCGCAAGCUAGAACCUGUUGCACUGAGAUUUAUAAGUUGGUUUUCGUAAGUUGCAUAUGUUUUAAGCAAGUAAACGUUGCAGCGGAAGAAGUGAAGCAUCUAUUGAUGAUUAUAAUGCAUGUGUGGUGGAUCAUGCUGCAGCCAGCACACAUACCAGCACAGCAACAGUGCUGCACCGCAAUUGAGGCGAAGGUGCAGCUGACAUAAGUUGAGAAGCAAAUUGACAGGUUGUUCGAAGGUUGAUGAAACAAGACAGCGAUGCUCCACGAGGUGUUGAGUUCAUGCUUAUCUAGAUGUUGUCUGGAUCUAUCAUGACUGAGCGUGUUUCUGUAGGUUAAGUCAACUCUUUCCUCUCUUAACAACUUACAGACACUGUGCCCUAGGGGGUGCACUAGCCAUAUGAGAUGUAAUCUGAUGUAUCCUAUGCUUUCAUGAAUCUUUCUCCCUCGUGCUAUGGACAAAUCAAACAUGACCCCCCGUGCAUUCCAUUUUUUUUCUCUGGAUCAACAGCAAUGACAGAUAGGAAACAUUAAUUAGUAUCUCCCCAUCUAAUAUUAUGAAGUACUCGUGAAGACUGCACAUUCUAACAGUUGUUUGUUAUCAUCUCGGCUGUUAGUAGGUUAAAACAGAAACCUGCAGUAUUAAGCAAGAUGGACCGGUAAUUUAUCCAAUCAAAGUUGUUCUAUAUUCUCUUCUCAGUGAAAAUAGGGCACAGUGUCACUUUGUGUCCGAGACAGAAAAAAGAGUUUACUUUCUCUAUUACCGCACCUAGAUUAACGGCCGGGCAUUCCUUUUUACUCUCUGAAACAACUGAAAAAUGACAGAUAGGAAACACUAAUUAGAUACAUUUAUCUCAUUAUCUAUAUUAUGAAUUACUCGUGAAAUAAUAAUUGGAUCUUAUUGUAGGUGGAUGAAAUUUGCCAGUGGUACUCCCUGAGGUGUCGAGUUCAUGCUUAUCUUGAAGCUGCCUGGCCCAUAUCAGCAUUGAACACGUUUUUGGAGAUAUCAGAGACAUACCAGCAAAGCGACAGUGCUGCAUGGCAAUUGAGGCGAAGGUGCAGCUGACAUCAGUUGAGAACCAAAUUGACAGGCUGUUGGAAGGUAAUGUCUUCUGGUCCUUCCAACAUACACCUCAGUUGCACGACUUGCAUUCUAGUUUAUUUUUCUUCUGUUUGCUGAUCUGGAUUCUCUGUUAAGCUAAGCACUUGUGCCGAUGCUUUGCCUCCAAUCGUCGAGACAUGGCAUCCACUUAGUGAUGCUUGUCUCCUUAACAAGAUUGUAACAGAUAGAGAUGCUUAUGCUGCUCCAAAAAAUUGAUUCAUCAUUGGCAAUACAUGGAGCGUGGUGCACAAUAUUCCUUGCCAGCAAGACUGCUUUUGUUUCUUGACUAUAAAUAGAGUGCACCACAAUGGUUGAGCACCAACAAAGCGCAUCUGCUCUUCACUUUCUCUUCCAUUACGAACAUACACACAUCAUCAGUUCAUCCAUUAGAAACAUGGUUUGCCAUCAAAGAUCCGCAAGCUUGCCUUACUCCAGUGAAUCCCAAGUGGAGGUGGAGCUGCAGGGCCUGAAGUCAUGCAUCUCUUCACCCUCCGCAACCAUCGACACAAUGUGUGGUGGUUACGCAAGGCUUGGAGACAUCUACAAGUGCAUAGAGGAGAUCAUGGGCUUGCCCAGCAACCAAGUUGGCCUCUCCUUCCCCCAAAACAAGAAAAUGGUGGAAGAGGAACUGGAGCGAUCCCUCCUGCUGAUUGAUCUCUGCAAUUCAAUGCAAGAGAAUUUAGCAGAGCUGAAGAUGAGUACCCAGGAGCUGCAACUGGUUCUCAAAAGAUGAGAUGAUGCGUCUGUUCAACUCAAGGUUGAGUCUUUCAUUCGUCUCGCCAAGCAGGCGCAGAAGCCUUUCAAGAAGAUUGCAAGCAGCAAAGCUAGUGGUGAGGAUUGCAGGCUGAUCAGGCUACUGGCGGAAGCCAGAGAGAUGUCUGUCUCUCUACUCGAGUCCACGUCGCAGCUGUUGCCGAAGCAGUUCGCCACCACCAAAGGAAGCAAAUGGUCUCUUGUCCAGAAGAGAAGGGUCGUUUGCGAGGAGGAACAGUUGCAAGCGCUAGAGCGAAGCAUGGGAGAUGUUGAAAACGGCGUUGAGCUUCUGUUCAGGAGAUUGAUCCAAAGCAGGGUUUCGCUCCUGAACAUUCUCAGCUCCUAGACACUCUCAGGCCUUGUUUCUCUAGCAUAUUGCGAUUGGCAUCCACCUUUUAAAGGAUUCACCAGUCAUAUAGAACCUUUCUAGCUUGUGUACUGAGUACACUACUAAAUGUACAUACAAAUGGUCAGUUGA